CUGAGUGAAUAUGAGUUCCAGAGGACUUUUAGACUCUCAUUUACUGCUCUUUUCCAAAGCCUAGAACAGUGUCUAGCACAUACAGAGGUUCUGGAUUUGGGUGUUGAGUAAAUGAAUAAAGAGCUCACAUGGACACCUCUCAUCAAGUAUGUGGUUCUGCUUUCAAGCUCAUUCCCAACAGUCAAAGGCCCUUCUGACUGUGGUAGAUUUAUAGUCAAUAAUUCUUGCCCACACUCAUACCAGUAUGAUCAUUAUAGAGUCCAUAUUAAUAAAUGUGUUUACGGGUCAUACACAGCGACCGGAAAAGCAAUUAUUAUUAUUAUUAUUAUUAUUAUUAUUAUUAUUAUCACCAACAUGUAUUGAGCUCAUGCCAAAUUCUGGACUCAACACUUGUCUCACGUUUAUUUCUAAUCCUUACCACAUCCCUGCAAAGUAAAUGAUAGAAUCCACAUUUUGCGGAAUAGGAAAAUAAGGCCACACAUUAAUUAUAUCCCAAACAUAUCUGCAGAUUCCCAUAUUCCUCUCAGCAUGUUUAGCAAGGCUUGUUAAUAGCCCUCUACUCUGAGCAGAUAUUCUCUCUGGGACUGGGAACAAAAGAGGCUCUCUCUCAGGGAGGGAUAGGAAAUGAGAGUGGCCUCGGUGCCGCUGACCACAUGGGGCUGUAGAGACACUGUCCCCAUGCUCUGGGCCAGGCACCAAGGAAACUGAGCAGUGGGAUGGGACGGGUGUGGGAAUGAUCCCAUAACAACUAAGGGUUAAUUAAUUUCUUGUUUUGGGGGAAAUACCCAAGAGUGCAGUUAAGCAUGCCAGCUUCUUUGAGAUCCUACCUAUGCAAUCCUAUCUCCUUAUUUGUUAUAGUGAACACUUCUAGCAGAGCCCCAUCUGCAAAAGAAAUUUCCAGGGUCCCCCUGCCCCCCCAGCUCUUCACUCUACUGCACUUCACUCUGUGACAGUGCCGGCCCUCACUCCAAGCAAGUGCCCAGACCUGGCCCCUUCAGAGUUCAGAGGUGGGGCCAGCGGGGGAGGGGCAGCCAAUUCGUGCCCUUGGCAGAUGCCCGACAUGGGGGGGGGGCUUUGUGGGAGGAAGGUGGGAGCUGGGGUGUGCCCAGCUGGAAGCCGCCCGUAAUUUAACACUCGCAGAUGGAGACUGAGGGUGAUAUGAUACCCCCAGCUGUCUGCCCCUGCCGCCUUCAAGACCCCCUUCGGCUGCCUGGGACUCGGGAUGCUUUAGGAAGGGCCUGGUGCGGGUGGGGGCAGCCUAAUAAAGCAGCUGGUCUAUUAGAAGAUAAGCUUUGUGGAGAAUCACACAGUCAUUUCGAAUCCCCCUAAUCCCAAACUUUAUUGCCCUAGAUAAUAAGCUUUGGUGGCGACGCUCCAUUGAAAUAUGGAAUUGUCUGCAGGCUGGAGGCACCUGCUGUGUCACUCAGCUCCAGGGCGGCAACUGCCUUGCACACAAUUCAGGGGCAGGUGCACAGCUCCCGCCUGGGCUCCCGGAGGGAGGGAAGGGGGACCGUCAAGGGGGCCGGCCACGCUUGCAUGAAGGGCUCCAAAUACUCUCUGUGCCCAGGAGGCCUGGCUUAGGCCUGAGAAUGUUCUCUCUGAGGCCUGUGGAUUAAGCUGUUUGGGGAACUUGGGGAAGAAGGAGCAAGAGGGAGCAAUUGUUUGUUGAGGACGCUGAGGCUUAGAGAAAGGACCAGCUCUGCCUGCAGACCCCCGUGAUCAGUGGAUGAUCCGUCCUCCUCCUCCCUCUUGCAAUUCCUCCUGCAGCUGUCUCUGAGGCCCACCUUGGCACGGGCUGUUUCCUCUUCGGCCUCCUUCCCUACACGUCCACCUGGUGAGCUUCCCGGUCUCCUCCUCCACGAUGCUGCCUGUGUGUCCACCAAGGAGAUUUGUGUGUCUUCUCCUAUGUGUCUCUCUAGCUCUUGAUUCACAUCAGCCAUUGGAGCCCACGCAACAGUAAUUAAUCAAACAAUCAAUUAAUUUCUUCUACGCCUGUCUCUUCCACUAAACUAGGAUGUCCUUAAGGGCACGGAUCAUAUCUGAUUCAUCCUGUCCCCAGAAUCUUGGAGAUGCUCAAAAGAUUCACAAAAAGAAAGAAAAAAGAAGAAAAGAGGGAAGAGACAAAAAGAAAGGAAAAAAAAAAAAAACCCAAGAAGCAACCUACAUGCACAUAAAACAAAUCCUAUAUGGCCACUGAGAGUAAUGAAGCAUAUCUACACGUAGUCAAAAAGGAUGAGAAGUUCAAAACCUAUUGUUACGUGAAAAUAAUGCAGUGUCAAACAGCGUCUAGAAUAUUAUGUUAAAAAAAUAAUGCUGAUGGUAACGGUUGCCUUGGGAAAGUAUACCUGGAAAGGGGUUAAAAUAGGUAGAAGGGAGACUGACUUUACACUUUAAACCUUUUGUAAAACUGACAUUUUUAGCAUGUAUGAAUCUGACCUUUUUGAAAGGGUAGAAACAGCCUCACACGUGUAGAAAGACAGUUGUCGAAUGCACAAAUAAACCAGCCGUUCAUGCUCAAGUCUGUCUUAUUCCUCUUACUCAUUGUCCAAACAUGAUCUAGAAGAGUGGGAUGUGUCCCCCCUCAAAGGCAUUGGCAGCAGAUUCAGUUCCCUGAGUGCCGAGCAAUCCUUCAGGCUGGCACAGCAAUGGGUCGGUUGCCGUCCAUGAGCUAGAACGUUUCUUGGAUGAAAGAAACCCAACUGGCAUUUAAGGAACCUCUGAGGCAUAUUAGACCUGGCAGGAAACAUCUUUAAAGAAACCUGUCAACUUUUCCCAAUUGUUCUGACAAUUCCCUCCUGUUAACAAAAUGUUAAUAUUCCAAAAAUGUUCAAAUUCUCUUGUAUUAACAUAUUCUUUCUCGCUUCUCCCCUUCCUUCCCUCCUGUCCCCCCGCUCUCUCUCAACUAUGGUUAUUGAUGCCCUUUCUGGAAGGUCUGCCCUUCCUCAGAUGAACAUGACCUAAAUUAUUUGGCUCCCGCUCUGAUGGUGUAUUGAUUACUUCCCCAUCCCCAUAAACCACCUCUUGGCAUCUCUCCAGGGGACUGCCUACACUAGAUGAAAUUAAGGGCAACCCUGGCUCUCAACAAGGCCUCACCAAGCAGUUGCUUUGGAGGAGUGAUUCAUGAGUUUAGUUAAUGAUCCUAAUGGCCUCCAAUAAGAACAACCCCUUCCUGCAGCAUAGUCUUUGGGCUACACUGGAUUUAGGGAAACUUCGUUAGGGUUGGGGAUAUUCUCCAACACUAGAGAUCGAACAGGAGAACAAGAACAGCGUGUGUGGUCACCUGCAGAACUAAACUGAGAGCUCUGCUCAGGCGGAAAUGGCUAAUUCUCAUCUUUGAAGAUGGCAUCCUGGGGACUUCCUAUUCUCUGUGGGUUAAUGUGGCAGCGAGAGUUCUUUUUGGUUCCCCUGCUAAGCUGUGCCAGCUUUUGCUUCUACGUUUUCAUAAAAUGUGUGGCUGUGGUUAUGAUUCUGACGUGCAGAAAUUCAGGAACUCCCUGCUUCCUUUCCUCGGGUGGCAUUUAGGCUUUAGAGAAUUCCCAAUCUGCUAAUGAACAAUUCGGGAAUUCUUCAUGGCUUCAUUGAAGUAUCCCAUGGUAAACUUUGCCCCACAAUGCUCCGUUUCUCUAGAAAAUACCGUAUUGCUUUCCCGUGACCUUGCUGCUGACUUUGAUCACUUUGAUCUGCCUCCAGGAGCCUCUGAGAGGCUAAGGCUGGUGAUGUUGACUUUUCUGGGUAACUGACUUGGGUAGAUAGGGCACCCUUAGUUUUAGGAACUUCACACUUAAUCUUCUUCCGAAGGAUAGGAUUGUGUAACACAGUGGGAGUUUGGGGCAUUGCAAUAAAUUUUAGUGGCCAAGUCCCCAGAGCUCCCAGGUCUAUCAGCACACAAAAUGUCCAACCCACUAAAAAUCUUCAUGUGCCCCAGGUCAUCUACCUUUUAGGAAAAACAUCCCAAAUCAUUGAUAUAAGUACAGAGGUUCACAUUAAAUAUAUUUUGUAAGCGUUGAAUGUAUCACUCUACGUGUUGAAAUGCAGGUAACUAGUUGGCAUGUUAUGCCAUUUGCAGACAUUCAACUAAAUAUUUUGUAGUUUUGAUUUUCUGCUUUUUAAAAAAUUUACUGGAACAGUAUUUUUUUCAGAUCUCAAACACUGUCAGUCUAACAGCAUGGGUGUCCUGUCUGUGUUGCCCAAAAGAUAAAAGAGGCCUGAAACCAUCCUUUGUUCCCUGGAGGAUUUGAUGGUAAUGGAGGCAAGAAUCUGGAGGGCAUCAUUUCCAUUGAUUUAACAGCGGCACCCUUUGGGGUGUUCCAGAGAAGUGUGUCAACCGAGGACCCUUCCAUUGCUCUGUACUUCAAAGGAACACUGUUUCAGUUAGCCUUUGCUGUGUGACACCUCCCCCCCCAAUGUGGCUUAAAACAACAAUUAUUUUUCAUGAGAUUCUAUGAAUUAGCUCCAAGGUUUUUGCCUGGGUUCACUCAAGCAGCCGCAUUUGGCUGAAGGGUCAGCUGGGCUCAAAGAUAGAGAUGGUGGGCCUUCUGGCAGGUGUGGCAGUGGGUGCUGGUGACAGUGGGUGCUGGCCAUUGGCUGGGACGCCUCCCUUCUGCUGCAUUUGGCCUCUCCUCUUCCAGUCGGCUAGAUCAGCUUCUUUGUAUGGUGGCCUCUGGGCAGCUUUCAAAGAUGGUGGAAGUAGAUGGGUCACAGUAAGUCACAGCCACAGUCCAGAUUCAACGGGUGGAGGAACAGGCUCUCCUCCUGGACAGCUAAGGGUGCAAAAUUACAGGGCAAAGGGGCCUGGACACUAGAAUGGAAGGAAUUCGCAGUCAUUAAACAACAUACCACAGCCAUGGCACAGAAGGACUGUAGGUCCCAGAAGCUGGGGAGAGGAGAAUGUCUGGAGUCUUCUCAUGUGGUCAUUGCAUCCUUUCUCUUGGACUGUCCACACAUCCUGCAGAGAGGCUGUAGCUCAGCCGUUAGGCUCCUCAUGGAGGAAACGUGGGAUGGGUGCUUAGCUUUAUCAGUCAGGGGUGGAAGUAUGGUGCCCAAAGACACAGCAGGUUAAGAGCAGGCUCUCAAAUCAAAAUGCUCGGUUUGAGCUCUGGCUCCACCACACACUAGCCAUGAUAUGGAAACAAGAGACAUAAACUCUCUAGGCUUUGGCUUCCUCCUCUGAAAAAUGGGAUGACGACUCAAUCUUUUAUUUAUGUAGAUAUGUAUGCUGUGUGUAGAUUCAAUGAGGAAUGCCAUUUUGCUUCAAUAUCUGGUAUUUGUUAAGUCGUAAGUAUUAGUUCUUGUUAUUUUCCAAAGAGAUAGAAUUCAAAUUAAGAAGAGGUGUCCGAAA
rnacentral:lncRNA from 1 species